UCUAGUUCUGCUUUUUAGAGCUAUCUCCUGGAUGUUCCUUAGACAUAUGUUGUAGGCUCAUCUCUAGCCACAUCUCCUGCUGCUUUUGAAUAUCCCAUGGAGACUCUAAUACUCUGGACAAAACUCCUGCUGAUUGCACUCCCAUCUCAGCAGUGGUGACCCAGAAACUGUGUGGAAGUCAAAUACCUGAAAGCGAAGAUAGAAGCCACUGAAGGCUGGGGAAGUUGUUGAUAAAAUGUCAUGAACGAGGAGUGGAGGAAAGCCAGCUCUAUCUGGAGCAGGAUGUCACACAGCUAUGAGGAGGUGUACCUAGGGUCAUCCAGCCAGGAUCUGGCAUUUUGUGCCCUUGGGGAUCUGUCAGACCAGAGCAACCAGGACAACAGCUUCUCCUUGGCUCAUGAAUUCAGAAGGACAAGAGAGGUGUCUGCAGUGAUUGGGUGGAGGUUGUGGAUUGGUGCUGAGGCGAGCAGCUUGCCUACUGGUAGCAUGUUAUCGUGGGCAGGUAUGCUGUACCCUUUCUACAAGUAUACUUUGUGGUUGAAGAAUGAGAAAGAUUUAGGGUAAGUGAAAAAAGGGAAAGUGUGAAUGUGAAGGAAAGUAGGAGCUGUGGAAGGGCCAGAGGUAGGGACCUGCCCACAGAGAUGAAGUUGUGUUGGUUAUUGUCUUCUGACGCUCAGCUGUUCUGGUGAUAAAAGAAAAAUGAUGAUCUCUGUCAGGAUGACAGUCUUGAGAAGAACAGAAAACCCUCGAAUGGGGCUGAGUGAGGAAAAGACCCCUUUUUUUAAUCUCUUUUCCCUUCCAACCAUGGUGAACAUGAGCAGCAGCAUAAGCCUACAAAACCAUGCCAGGUAUAUGGUAGACUUUAAAGCCAAAUGUUUACAACAAAUCUAAACAGUAUGACCGAAAUGAUGCUUGUGGGAGUCCUACACUCCAGGCAGACUUCCAGGCUGGGUGGGAAGUGAGCUGUAAUCUUGCCAGGUGAGUAUAAAGUGCAGAUGUGCCGACAUGAACCUCAGUGUUUUACCACGCCAAGAACUUAGCAGAACCUCAAACAGCUAUAGGGAAGGUUCUGUGUUUCACCAGCAACUACAGAAAGCUCUGUUCUGUGUGUAUACAUACACUUACAGGCAGCAACCGAUGGUUUCCUUCCACUGUGGCUGGCCAGACCUGAUUGCAUUUCAAAGCUCUCCACUUUGUGGCAGGAUCCUGAAGCAAAUUCUCUCCUCUUGCCCUUCUCCCCAAGUUAACUGCCCAGGAGUCUGACAGAGUUUUGCCUUGUGAUUUUGGUUCCUUUAAAAUCUUAUUAAAAUACUUUGUGGAGGUGGGUGUUCUCAUGUGGAAGGGGCAUCUCUAUUUGAUAGUCUGGUUAAAUCGGGCAUCAUCACUUGGGUGAGUCUGCCUGGAUGCUCACUUGGGGAUGUAAGACAGCAGCUUUUGUUUCCAAAUUUCUUUAUAUUUUGUGGAAUUGCUUUCAUCUGUGAGGCUUUAAAAUAACAUUGAUUUUAAAUGGUGGCAUUUUGCACUUAUUUUGUCCAAAUGUAAAUGUUUAGGCUGUUAGGCAGCAGAGACUCAGGCCUGGAAUGAAACUUUUUACUUAUCUGUUAUUAAAUAAAAUCCUCUGAGGAAAUAUGGUCAUAAUUUCAUCUGUCUCUAAAAUUUCCACUCUGCCUUUAAUCAUAUUUCCUGCAAU